UGGGGAAUAUUGCGCAAUGGGGGAAACCCUGACGCAGCAACGCCGCGUGAGUGAUGAAGGCUUUCGAGUCGUAAAACUCUGUCUUUGGGGAAGAUAAUGACGGUACCCAAGGAGGAAGCCCCGGCUAACUACGUGCCAGCAGCCGCGGUAAUACGUAGGGGGCAAGCGUUGUCCGGAAUCAAUGGGCGUAAAGGGCGCGUAGGCGGUUUGUUAAGUCAGGUGUGAAAGUUUUCAGCUUAACUGGAAAAGUGCACUUGAAACUAACUUACUUGAGUACUGGAGAGGUAAGCGGAAUUCCUAGUGUAGCGGUGAAAUGCGUAGAUAUUAGGAAGAACACCGGUGGCGAAGGCGGCUUACUGGACAGAGACUGACGCUGAGGCGCGAAAGCGUGGGGAGCGAACA
rnacentral:rRNA from 1 species